GCUUUUUGGAGGUGAAGUUUUUUUUUUGGGUGAAGCUUUUUUUAGGUGAAGCUUUUUGGGUGAAACUUUUUGGAUGAAGCUUUUUGGGUGAAGUUUUGGAGGUGAAGCUUUUCGGGUGAAGCUUUUUGGAUGAAGCUGUUUUUUUUUUUUUUUUUUUUUUUUUUUUUUUUUUUUUUGGCGCUUGACACGGUCUUCAUUUGCUUGUUUGGUAGUGACUGUGGAAGACGGAUUGCUUUCU
rnacentral:lncRNA from 1 species